rnacentral:rRNA from 1 species
GAAUCCCGUCUUUGACACGGACUGCCUGUACAUUAUGGUGUGCUCUCGAAGAGUCGAGUUGUUUGGGAAUGCAGCUCAAAAUGGGUGGUAAAUGCCAUCUAAAGCUAAAUAUUGGCGAGAGACCGAUAGCGAACAAGUACCGUGAGGGAAAGAUGAAAAGAACUUUGGAAAGAGAGUUAAACAGUACGUGAAAUUGCUGAAAGGGAAACGCUUGAAGUCAGUCGCGUUGGCUAGAAAUCAACCUUGCUUUUGCUUUGUGUACUUUCUGGUUGACGGGUCAGCAUCAAUUUUGACCACUGGAUAAAGUCUUUGGGAAUGUGGCAUCUUCGGAUGUGUUAUAGCCCAUUGUCGCAUACGGUGGUUGGGAUUGAGGAACUCAGCACGCCGCAAGGCCGGGUUUCGACCACGUUCGUGCUUAGGAUGCUGGCAUAAUGGCUUUAAUCGACCCGUCUUGAAACACGGACCAAGGAGUCUAACAUGCCUGCGAGUGUUUGGGUGGAAAAACCCAUGCGCGCAAUGAAAGUGAAAGUUGAGAUCCUCUUCAAAGGGGGAGCAUUGACGCCCGGACCAGACCUUUUGUGACGGAUCCGCGGUAGAGCAUGCAUGUUGGGACCCGAAAGAUGGUGAACUAUGCCUGAAUAGGGUGAAGCCAGAGGAAACUCUGGUGGAGGCUCGUAGCGAUUCUGACGUGCAAAUCGAUCGUCAAAUUUGGGUAUAGGGGCGAAAGACUAAUCGAACCAUCUAGUAGCUGGUUCCUGCC